rnacentral:rRNA from 1 species
AGAUUAAAACUCAAAGGAAUAGACGGGGACCCGCACAAGCGGUGGAGCAUGUGGUUUAAUUCGACGAUACGCGAAGAACCUUACCUGGCCUUGACAUAGAAAGAAUUUAGCAGAGAUGUAAAAGUGCUAGUUUACUAGAGCUUUCAUACAGGUGCUGCACGGCUGUCGUCAGCUCGUGUCGUGAGAUGUUAGGUUAAGUCCUGCAACGAGCGCAACCCUCGUGUUUAGUUACUAACAGAUUAUGCUGAGGACUCUAGACAUACUGCCUGGGCAACCAGGAGGAAGGUGAGGACGACGUCAAGUCAUCAUGGCCCUUACGGCCAGGGCUACACACGUGCUACAAUGGGGUAUACAAAGAGCAGCGAUACCGCGAGGUGGAGCAAAUCUCAUAAAAUAUCUCCCAGUUCGGAUUACACUCUGCAACUCGAGUGUAUGAAGUUGGAAUCGCUAGUAAUCGUAGGUCAACAAUGCUACGGUGAAUACGUUCCCGGGUCUUGUACUCACCGCCCG